rnacentral:tRNA from 2 species
GGGAAGAUGGCUGAGCGGUCAAAAGCAACAGACUGUAAAUCUGUCGCCUUCGGGCUACAUAGGUUCGAAUCCUGUUCUUCCCACCA